GAAGCUAAGAAAACAUGCCUAUUCAUCCCGAUGACCUGAGUGGACUGUUUGUUUGGAAAAUUGCGUCAAAACUUUACACCCGAGAAAUGACCAAACUGGAACCUCCAUAGGCGUGUUUACUUGUUCUGAGUAGGGACAAAAGAAAAAGGAAUCAGCGUUGUACACUUUUCUCCACUUCUCUGUCUUUAUGUGGACAUUUUCCGGGUCAAUUCUUGAAAUGCGGUUUUUAACCGUAGCUCGAUACACGUGCGUGCGCAGGUCAGAUACAUGUGCAGGUCAGAUGUCCUAGGGAAGUAUCGUCGGUUUGUGUCUUGUGCUGAUCAUCUCGAAACAAGACCUCUUUCACAAAGAUUUUCAAAUGCCGUCUCUUUUCAUAUAUUACCUUAACUCCCCCCGCAACGAGCUCGUGGAUCCUCUUGAUGAUCUUCUCAUCAAGGGGUUGAGAUAUUCCAGCGACCUAUAGAAAUAAAAAACUCGAACUUUGAAA